UUCAGGCGCAUUGAAGAAGAGGUCAGUGGUGCAGUGAUGGAAGACGGGUGCAGUGUGGAUCUGCUCGGGAACGCGGCCUAAAAGGUAGAACUGAUGGGUUACGUUUGAAAGGACUGAGUUACAAACUUUAAGAAGUGUCAUCAUUCGCGCUGACGAAGGAUCGGUGUAGCGACGCUAGUACUUUUACUUAAAGAAACUACAGGUGAUCUGGAACCAGUGUAUGUUGACGGCAACUCUUUCAAGCAAACAUCUUUUAUGUGUAACCCGUGCAACUUAUACUUUUCAACUGGGAAAAAUU
rnacentral:lncRNA from 1 species